UACGAAGGGGGCUAGCGUUGUUCGGAUUUACUGGGCGUAAAGCGCACGUAGGCGGAUCUUUAAGUCAGAGGUGAAAUCCCAAGGCUCAACCUUGGAACUGCCUUUGAUACUGGGGAUCUUGAGUCCGGGAGAGGUGAGUGGAACUGCGAGUGUAGUGGUGAAAUUCGUAGAUAUUCGCAAGAACACCAGUGGCGAAGGCGGCUCACUGGCCCGGUACUGACGCUGAGGUGCGAAAGCGUGGGGAGCAAACAGG
rnacentral:rRNA from 1 species